AGGGAUCAUUACCGAGUUUACAACUCCCAAACCCCUGUGAACAUACCACUUGUUGCCUCGGCGGAUCAGCCCGCUCCCGGUAAAACGGGACGGCCCGCCAGAGGACCCCUAAAACUCUGUUUCUAUAUGUAACUUCUGAGUAAAACCAUAAAUAAAUCAAAACUUUCAACAACGGAUCUCUUGGUUCUGGCAUCGAUGAAGAACGCAGCAAAAUGCGAUAAGUAAUGUGAAUUGCAGAAUUCAGUGAAUCAUCGAAUCUUUGAACGCACAUUGCGCCCGCCAGUAUUCUGGCGGGCAUGCCUGUUCGAGCGUCAUUUCAACCCUCAAGCACAGCUUGGUGUUGGGACUCGCGUUAAUUCGCGUUCCUCAAAUUGAUUGGCGGUCACGUCGAGCUUCCAUAGCGUAGUAGUAAAACCCUCGUUACUGGUAAUCGUCGCGGCCACGCCGUUAAACCCCAACUUCUGAAUGUUGACCUCGGAUCAGGUAGGAAUACCCGCUGAACUU
rnacentral:rRNA from 1 species